GUUAAGAUCCUUUAACCUUUCCUGGUAAGUUUUAUCCUGCAAUCCAUGAACCAGUUUAGUAGCCCUUCUCUGAACUCUCUAAGGUAUCAAUAUCCUUCUGGAGAUACGGUCUCCAGUACUGCGUACAAUACUCCAAGUGAGGUCUCACCAGUGUUCUGUACAAUGGCAUGAGCACUUCCCUCUUUCUACUGCUAAUACCUCUCCCUAU